AGUCGACGGCAGCAUGAUCUAGCUUGCUAGAUUGAUGGCGAGUGGCGAACGGGUGAGUAAUACAUCGGAACGUGCCCUGUAGUGGGGGAUAACUAGUCGAAAGAUUAGCUAAUACCGCAUACGACCUGAGGGUGAAAGUGGGGGACCGCAAGGCCUCAUGCUAUAGGAGCGGCCGAUGUCUGAUUAGCUAGUUGGUGAGGUAAAGGCUCACCAAGGCGACGAUCAGUAGCUGGUCUGAGAGGACGAUCAGCCACACUGGGACUGAGACACGGCCCAGACUCCUACGGGAGGCAGCAGUGGGGAAUUUUGGACAAUGGGGGCAACCCUGAUCCAGCAAUGCCGCGUGUGUGAAGAAGGCCUUCGGGUUGUAAAGCACUUUUGUCCGGAAAGAAAUGGCUCUUGCUAAUAUUAGGUGUGGAUGACGGUACCGGAAGAAUAAGGACCGGCUAACUACGUGCCAGCAGCCGCGGUAAUACGUAGGGUCCAAGCGUUAAUCGGAAUUACUGGGCGUAAAGCGUGCGCAGGCGGUUGUGCAAGACCGAUGUGAAAUCCCCGNGCUUAACCUGGGAAUUGCAUUGGUGACUGCACGGCUAGAGUGUGUCAGAGGGGGGUAGAAUUCCACGUGUAGCAGUGAAAUGCGUAGAGAUGUGGAGGAAUACCGAUGGCGAAGGCAGCCCCCUGGGAUAACACUGACGCUCAUGCACGAAAGCGUGGGGAGCAAACAGGAUUAGAUACCCUGGUAGUCCACGCCCUAAACGAUGUCAACUAGUUGUUGGGGAUUCAUUUNCUUAGUAACGUAGCUAACGCGUGAAGUUGACCGCCUGGGGAGUACGGUCGCAAGAUUAAAACUCAAAGGAAUUGACGGGGACCCGCACAAGCGGUGGAUGAUGUGGAUUAAUUCGAUGCAACGCGAAAAACCUUACCUACCCUUGACAUGCCACUAACGAAGCAGAGAUGCAUUAGGUGCUCGAAAGAGAAAGUGGACACAGGUGCUGCAUGGCUGUCGUCAGCUCGUGUCGUGGGAUGUUGGGUUAAGUCCCGCAACGAGCGCAACCCUUGUCUCUAGUUGCUACGAAAGGGCACUCUAGAGAGACUGCCGGUGACAAACCGGAGGAAGGUGGGGAUGACGUCAAGUCCUCAUGGCCCUUAUGGGUAGGGCUUCACACGUCAUACAAUGGUGCAUACAGAGGGUUGCCAAGCCGCGAGGUGGAGCUAAUCCCAGAAAGUGCAUCGUAGUCCGGAUCGUAGUCUGCAACUCGACUACGGAAGCUGGAAUCGCUA
rnacentral:rRNA from 1 species